CUACGGGUUGCUGCAGUCGGGAAUCUUUCGCAAUGGGCGCAAGCCUGACGAAGCGACGUCGCGUGCUUGAAGAAGCCCUUCGGGGUGUAAAGAGCUUUUCUGCCAGAAUAAGCUUCGGCUGAAGGUACGGCAGGAAUAAGGGGUGGCUAAACUCGUGCCAGAAGCCUCGGUAAUGCGAGUGCCCCAAACGUUAUCCGGAUUUACUGGGCGUAAAGAGCUUUAAGACGGUUUGGAAAGUCCUUGGUUAAAUUCUUAGAGCUUAACUUUAAGAUUGCUAAGGAUACUUCUAAACUAGAGGACGUUAGAGGGCAGCGGAACAGCCGGUGUAGGGGUGGAAUCCGUUGAUAUCGGCUGGAACACCAAAAGCGAAGGCAGCUGGCUGGGGCGUUCCUGACGUUGUACAGCGAAAGCUAGGGCAUGGAAGAGGAUUAGAUACCCGUGUAGUC
rnacentral:rRNA from 1 species